rnacentral:rRNA from 1 species
UACGAAGGGGGCUAGCGUUGUUCGGAAUUACUGGGCGUAAAGCGUGCGCAGGCGGCUGCUCAAGUCAGGGGUGAAAGCCCAGAGCUCAACUCUGGAAUUGCCUUUGAGACUGAGUGGCUUGAGUACGGGAGAGGUGAGUGGAAUUCCCAGUGAUAGAGGUGAAAUUCGUAGAUAUUGGGAAGAACACCGGUGGCGAAGGCGGCUCACUGGCCCGUAACUGACGCUGAUGCACGAAAGCUAGGGGGAGCAAAACAGG